GUUUGAUCCUGGCUCAGAAUCAACGCUGGCGGCGUGCCUAACACAUGCAAGUCGAACGAGAAAGUGGAGCAAUCCAUGAGUAAGGUGGCGACCGGGUGAGUAACACGUGACUAACCUACCUCCGAGUGGGGGAUAACUCCGGGAAACCGGGGCUAAUACCGCAUAACAUCGUGAGAUCAAAGCAGCAAUGCGCUUGGAGAGGGGGUCGCGGCUGAUUAGCUAGUUGGCGGGGUAACGGCCCACCAAGGCGAAGAUCGGUAUCCGGCCUGAGAGGGCGCACGGACACACUGGAACUGAAACACGGUCCAGACUCCUACGGGAGGCAGCAGUGGGGAAUUUUGCGCAAUGGGGGAAACCCUGACGCAGCAACGCCGCGUGGAGGAUGAAGCCCCUUGGGGCGUAAA
rnacentral:rRNA from 1 species